GACGAACGCUGGCGGCGUGCUUAACACAUGCAAGUCGAACGGUGAAGCGCCUUCCUUUUUGGUGGGUGUGGAUGAGUGGCGAACGGGUGAGUAACACGUGAGUAACCUGCCCCCUUCUUCUGGAUAACCGCAUGAAAGUGUGGCUAAUACGGGAUAUUCUGGGUCUGUCGCAUGAUGGGUCUGGGAAAGAUAUUGUUUCGGUGGGGGAUGGGCUCGCGGCCUAUCAGCUUGUUGGUGGGGUGAUGGCCUACCAAGGCGGUGACGGGUAGCCGGCCUGAGAGGGUGGACGGUCACACUGGGACUGAGACACGGCCCAGACUCCUACGGGAGGCAGCAGUGGGGAAUAUUGCACAAUGGGCGCAAGCCUGAUGCAGCGACGCCGCGGGAGGGAUGGAGGCCUUCGGGUUGUGAACCUCUUUCGCCAGUGAAGCAGGCCUGCCUCGUUUGUGGGUGGGUUGACGGUAGCUGGAUAAGAAGCGCCGGCUAGCUACGUG
rnacentral:rRNA from 1 species